rnacentral:rRNA from 1 species
UUAAAUUGAAGAGUUUGAUCAUGGCUCAGAUUGAACGCUGGCGGCAGGCCUAACACAUGCAAGUCGAGCGGAAACGAGUUAACUGAACCUUCGGGGAACGU